UACGUAGGCAGCAAGCGUUGUUCGGAAUUACUGGGCGUAAAGAGUGUGUAGGCGGUGUUCUAAGUUUGUCGUGAAAUCUCCCGGCUUAACUGGGAGGGUGCGGCGAAAACUGGAAUGCUAGAGGAUGGGAAAGGUAAGCGGAAUUCCUGGUGUAGCGGUGAAAUGCGUAGAUAUCAGGAGGAACACCUGUGGUGUAGACAGCUUACUGGACCAUUUCUGACGCUGAGACACGAAAGCGUGGGUAGCAAACAGG
rnacentral:rRNA from 1 species